CAGCACUUAAUAAUAGUAAUGCUAAUUAUUAUUUUUAUUAUUACCAAGGGAGGUGGGAAGCCAUUAUGGCCACAUUGGGCUGACCCUGAAAGGGAUGCAAUUCUGGAACAAGUAUCUUGGUCCAUGGAGCAGGAUGAGAGAGACAAAGGAAGGCAGAGGGGAAUCAUCAAAAGGGAGACUUCGGACAGAACGGGGGAUAGUUCCUUCUAAUUUCCUGCCUUGGCUUUGUGAUGGCCCCCAAAUCACCCAGACUUACAAGAAUUUACUCUCAAAGCACAUUUUGGCUUUGUUUGAAUUCUAAAAACCCACUCAAUUCGCAAAUAAAUAGGACGGCAUGUCUUUUCUAUUGAGACGGAGCCUAGCUCCUCAGAACACUGCGUCAGAACAGGAAGGAAAUGAAUAUCUUCAACCAGCUGAGGCUGCAGGUGGAGCAUAGGUAGGUGGAAUGUAAUUAUUCUAAUUGGACUGUGGCCACGGCA
rnacentral:lncRNA from 1 species